GCUUGCUACAGAUGACGACCGGCGCACGGGUGAGUAACGCGUAUGCAACCUGCCUUUGACAGGGGGAUAGCCCGGAGAAAUCCGGAUUAAUAUCCCAUGGUAUUUACGAAUCGCAUGGUUUGUAAAUUAAAGAUUUUAUCGGUCAAAGAUGGGCAUGCGUGACAUUAGCUAGUUGGUAAGGUAACGGCUUACCAAGGCUGCGAUGUCUAGGGGUUCUGAGAGGAUGAUCCCCCACACUGGUACUGAGACACGGACCAGACUCCUACGGGAGGCAGCAGUGAGGAAUAUUGGUCAAUGGGCGCAAGCCUGAACCAGCCAUCCCGCGUGAAGGAAGACUGCCCUAUGGGUUGUAAACUUCUUCUCUGCACCAAGAAUGGUUACUACGUGUAGUGAUUUGACGGUAGUGCAGGAAUAAGCAUCGGCUAACUCCGUGCCAGCAGCCGCGGUAAUACGGAGGAUGCAAGCGUUAUCCGGAUUCAUUGGGUUUAAAGGGUACGUAGGUGGCCAAUUAAGUCAGUGGUGAAAUCCUGCCGCUUAACGGUAGAACUGCCAUUGAAACUGGUUGGCUUGAGUACAGUUGAGGUAGGCGGAAUGUGUAGUGUAGCGGUGAAAUGCUUAGAUAUUACACAGAACCCCGAUUGCGAAGGCAGCUUACUAAACUGUAACUGACACUGAGGUACGAAAGCGUGGGGAGCGAACAGGAUUAGAUACCCUGGUAGUCCACGCUGUAAACGAUGCUCACUCGCUGUAUGCGAUACAUUGUAUGCGGCCAAGCGAAAGUCUUAAGUGAGCCACCUGGGGAGUACGUUGGCAACAGUGAAACUCAAAGGAAUUGACGGGGGCCCGCACAAGCGGAGAACAUGUGGUUUAAUUCGAUGAUACGCGAGGAACCUUACCUGGGCUUAAAUGCAGAUUGACAGACGUCGAAAGAUGUUUUUCUUCG
rnacentral:rRNA from 1 species